AACGAACGCUGGCGGCAUGCCUAACACAUGCAAGUCGAACGAGACCUUCGGGUCUAGUGGCGCACGGGUGCGUAACGCGUGGGAACCUGCCUUUAGGUUCGGAAUAACUCAGAGAAAUUUGAGCUAAUACCGGAUAAUGUCUUCGGACCAAAGAUUUAUCGCCUUUAGAUGGGCCCGCGUUGGAUUAGCUAGUUGGUGGGGUAAAGCCUACCAAGGCGACGAUCCAUAGCUGGUCUGAGAGGAUGAUCAGCCACACUGGGACUGAGACACGGCCCAGACUCCUACGGGAGGCAGCAGUGGGGAAUAUUGGACAAUGGGCGAAAGCCUGAUCCAGCAAUGCCGCGUGAGUGAUGAAGGCUUAGGUGUAAAGCUCUUUUACCCGAGAUGAUAAUGACAGUAUCGGGA
rnacentral:rRNA from 1 species